CAGAUGUAAUAGGGAAGUAACAUGGGAAUACUGAUGUCAUUAAAAGAUGCAGUUGUGCAUAUUUCAACUGGAAGGAAAUGAAAUAAUUUGAUAGUUUUCCCAUACGUUAAUUCAUUUAAAACAGGUUGAAGCUUUUGCCGAUUGUCCCUAUGACCAGAGAUGCAUCAUACUUGCACGGUGGUUCCAUUGUUGCUCUCCCUGUUAACAUUUUGGACAAUACAAGCUCAGGUGGAAUGGAUAGUAGAGAAUGGUGGAGUUGAAGAUUAUGGACAAAACUUGACACUUUUCUGUAAAGUGGAUAACUGUUGUAUUAAAGAUUCUGGAUGGGUACAAUGGAAUUCUGAUAGCAUAGACUUUAUAACCCUUAUAAUAGAUGUUACAGGUUUCAGGAAUGAGAAAUUCUCAGGAAAGAAGAGACAAGACGGCUUCACUCUUGUCAUAUCAAGUCUUAACGAGACUGAUCUGAAUCGAAAUUAUUCAUGUACAUAUGGAGGUAAAACGGGUGCAAAAAAACUAUUGCUUAAAGAAGAAGCCUUCAAUCG